rnacentral:rRNA from 1 species
UACGGAGGGUGCAAGCGUUAUCCGGAUUCACUGGGUUUAAAGGGUGCGUAGGUGGGCAUGUAAGUCAGUGGUGAAAUCUCCGGGCUUAACCCGGAAACUGCCAUUGAUACUAUAUGUCUUGAAUACCAUGGAGGUGAGCGGAAUAUGUCAUGUAGCGGUGAAAUGCUUAGAUAUGACAUAGAACACCAAUUGCGAAGGCAGCUCACUACGCGGUUAUUGACACUGAGGCACGAAAGCGUGGGGAUCAAACAGG